rnacentral:rRNA from 1 species
CCUACGGGGGGCUGCAGUGGGGAAUCUUCGGCAAUGGGCGCAAGCCUGACCGAGCCAUGCCGCGUGAGCGAUGAAGGCCUUAGGGUUGUAAAGCUCUUUCGCCAGGGAUGAUAAUGACAGUACCUGGUAAAGAAACCCCGGCUAACUCCGUGCCAGCAGCCGCGGUAAUACGGAGGGGGUUAGCGUUGUUCGGAAUUACUGGGCGUAAAGCGCGCGUAGGCGGAUUGGAAAGUUGGGGGUGAAAUCCCGGGGCUCAACCUCGGAACUGCCUCCAA